AUGUAAGUGUGUAUAGAGAUAGGGCCUUUGAAGUGCUAAUUAAAGUGAAAUGAAGUCAUAAGAGUGGGACUUCAUCCAUGUGACUGUACUUGAGAUAGGGCCUUCAAAGACUUAAAAUGAGGCCCCCACCCUUGGGGCCCUAAUCCAAAAUGACUGAUGUCCUCAUCAGACCAGAAAGAGACACCAGGAGAGCACAGGCACAGAGAAAAAGCCAUAUGAGGACACAGCAUGAAGACAGCCACCUGCAAGCCAAAAGAAGCCUUACCAGAAGGGUCUCACUCUGUCACCCAUGGAGUGCAGUGGUGUGAUCUCGGCUCACUGCAGCCUUGACUUUCUGGACUCAAGCAAUCUUCCCACAUCAGCUUCCCAAGUAGCUGGCACUACAGGAGCACAGCACCACACCAAGAGCAGUUUCAUGUACACAGCAAAACUGAGAGUAAGCUACGGAGAUUUCAACAUUAUCAACAUCCUUCACUAGAAUGGUACAUUUGUUAACAGUUGAUGAACCUACAUUGACUCAUCAUUAUCACGUGAAGUUUGUAGCUUACACAAGGGUUGUACAUGUGUCUACAAUUAUGGUAUUCCAUAGAAUAUUUCCACUGCCCUCCAAUUCUCUGUGCUCUGCCUCUUCAUCCUUUCUCUCACCACCAACCCCGUCCCUGUUUUGUUUUUGUUUUUUUUAACUGUCCCCUUAGUUUUGCCUUUUUCAUAAUGUCCUAUAGUUGGACUUAUACAGUAUGUAAAUUUUUCAGAUUGGCUUAUUUCACUUGAUAAUAUGCAUAUAAGUUUGCUCCAUGUCUUUUCAUGUUGUGAUAUCUCACUUCUUUGUACCCAUUAAUAAUAUCUAGAUGUACCACAGUUUAUUUAUUUACCUACUGAAGGACAUUUUGGUUUUUUCCAAGUUUGGCAAUUAUGAAUAGAGGUGCUAUAAACAUCUGAGUGCAAAUUUUUAUGUGAACAUAGUUUCCAACUCUUUUGGGUAGACAGCAAGGAUCACAAUUGCUGGAUCAAAUCAUGAGUGUGUUUAAUUGUAAGAAACUUGCCAGAUUGUCUUCCAUAAUGGUCAUGCCAUUUGGGAUUUCCACCAACAAUGAAUAAGAGUUUUCGUUGCCUCAUGUCCUUGACAGUAUUUGACGUUGUCAAGCUUCUGGAUUUUGGCCUUUCUAAUAGGUGUCUAGUUAUAUGUCAUUGUUAUUUCAAUUUGCUUUUUCCUGAUGACAUGUAAUGUGAAGCAUCUUUUCAUAUGCUUCUUUGCCAUUUGUAUAUCUUCUUUGGUGAGGUUUCUGUUAAAGUCUAUUGCCUAUUUUGUAACCUAAUUACUUACUUUCUUCUUAAGUUUUAAGAGUUCUUUGUAUAGUUUGGAUAACAGUUGUUUUUAAUCAGAUGUAUCUUUUGAAAUUUUUUUCUCCCAGCCUGAGCCUUGUCUUCUCAUUCUCUUGAAAUAGUCUGCUUUUUUUUUCUUUUUGUUUAACUUUCUGGCUAGGACUUUCAACAUUGACUAGCAGUGCUGAGAACAGUAAGUGCCUUAUUCUUCAUUUGAAUAAUAUAUAUAUUAGUGAAUCACUAAAAGUUAUAUUAUGUUAACUGUAGGUUUUUCAUAGGUGUCCUCAAUCAGGUUAGGAAUGUUUCUGUAAACUCCUAGUUGCUGGAAUCUUUUUUUUAAUUUACUUAUAAAUUGUGUUGAAUUUUAUCAAAUAACUUUUGUAUAUCUAUUGAUCAUAUUUUUCUUUCAUUUUUUGUUGAUGUGGUGAAAUUACAUUGAUUGAUUUCAAAUAUUAAAUCAAUGUUGCAUUUAUGGAAUAAACUGCCCUUGGUCAUGUUUUAUUAUCUUGGCUACAUAUUUCUGCAUGUGAUUUGCUCAUUAUAUUGGUUUGUGAGGUCUACGGUAACAAAGUACACAAACUGGGUGAUUUCAACAAGGGAGACUUAACAACGUUUAAAUGGCAAACUCUUUGUCCUGAGCAAGGGGCAGAUGUUGAAGUCUCUUCUCAUUUUCUUGGCCUCCCAGCUCUUCUUUCCUCUGGGUUCUUUGGAGUCUUGCUGGUCAUGUGCAUAUUUAACAAAUCAUUAAAGGACCUAAUAGAAGUGUGAGCAGAAUUGGUAUCCACAAUUUAGCAGCAGGUAUCCCUUCUUUGUGGCUCUCCCCUUUCCAAGAUUUUCCCCUCAAUUUCUAUCUUCUCUUGUCUUUUCCAACCUCUGUCCUUUCAAUUCAGUAAGAAUGAAAAUUUUUAUUUGACCUCCAUUUCUCUAUAUGUCUCAGGAAAUUGAGAAGUACCCUUGGGGAAAAAACAACUAAAUAAAAGUAUUACCUUCUUCUCUUCUUGUCUUUAAAAGAUUGAAUCCCAUGCAGUUUCUGGCGCUUUUCAUUGCUUUCUAAUAUAUUCAGUUUUUUAAAACUAGAGGUGUAAUAGUUGUCAAUAGGAGGGUCAGUUUGAUAAAAGUUACUCACCA